CAGAAGCAUAAUUUAAGACAAGCCAGAUGACUCAGUCCUGUCACCACCAGAAUUCCUUGGUAGUACUGACAUACUGAGCCACUGAGGUUAGAGGGAAUCUCUUCUGAACUCCAUAAGGCAGUUCUGCACAGUUCUGUAAGUGGUACAAAGGACUAGCUGUUCUCUUUGCAGUGAUUUUGCUUCCCUUCUUCUCCCAGGUUGGAGAACCCAUCAGGAAAGUGAAAUGCAGCAGGAUCUUCGCUUCAACAACCAGUGUACAAUCUAUCAGGCAGGGAGGCAUGAAUAAG
rnacentral:lncRNA from 1 species